rnacentral:tRNA from 1 species
CGAUCGGUGAUGGAAUGGCAGACAUGACCGCCUCAAAAGCGGUGGCCGUCAGCGGCGUGAGGGUUCGACUCCCUCCCGAUCGACCA